rnacentral:lncRNA from 1 species
AAAUAUAUUUUUUCCUAGACAGAAAAAAGAUUAUGUCAUUUGAGAAACAGCAACAAACAUUUUUGUCCUCUUUCCUAUAUUCACCAGGCUUCUUUUGCAGAGGAAGCCAUUGCGUUAAUGUACUCAAUCCACCAGGCCAGGCCAGGCCACACUCCCUCCCUCGAUAUACCACAAUCUCUUUCUCUCUCCUCACCUCAUGUGUACUCUAUCGUUUCUCUCGCCAUUGUCAGUUCUGCACUCUCCUGAGUUCUAUGAUUCCAUUUCCAACCUCAUUCUUUUAUAUCUUAUUAUAUUAUAUAUAUAUACCAUAGUGUCGUAAUCUCUGCAACUUCCUGUGAAAAAUUCUUUUCUUUACCUAAACCCAAUAAAGCUUGCUAUUAGCAUUUCCCUCAAUCCCAUAUACAGUCACAAACAGCCUUUUACUGUAGAGAAUUGUCAUUUUUUUAAUAGAGAAAUGGGUUUUUUUAAUACAUAUUCUGUUUUUAGUUGCCUAUGGAUAUGGUCCAAUCAUUAAUUAAGAAAUGUUAAUUAUAGGGUUAUUCACAUGAAGCAUAUUUGAUUACAAUGUCAAAGUGACUGUUUGAGUCUAUGCUAUUGGGAGUUGCAGUCAAGAACAUGGAUAAGUGGUGUAUCUGAUUGCUCUUUCCAGGAAAAGAUAAAAAUGGGUCCUUUCCUUUUCAUUGAGAGAGAACACGAGCUGGGGCAUGAAAAAGCUACCACCAAGGGUUUCGUGAUAAUUCUCUCCACACACACACAAAGAAGGGGGAGAGAGAGAGAGAUGGCACGCAAUACUUUGGAUUUUUCUUCAAGCUUUCAACCACAUCGCCCUACAGCAAUCAUCAUGCCCUCCUCCUCUUCCUUGCGCUUCUCAGGGACUAUUCACCACCAUCAUCAUUACCCCCUCACCUCUACUACGUCUCCCUGCUGCUUUUUUCGCAACCCAACAGCUCCUUCACAUCCCAAAUCCAAAACAAGACAACUCACAGAGAAGAAGAAGAAGAAGAAGAAGAAGAAGAAGAAGAAAUGGAGUAGAGGGUUUACUCAUGAUGACAAAAAGCUGGCAUCUUUCACUUGAAGUUAAAAAGGGUCUUUUUUACAUCGAAGGAUCCUACAAACAAUCGGGGAAUCAAGCGUCUCGGUCCGAUCAUUUGCUAGAUCAAGCAAAUCCACAAGAAGAAUAAUUAGAAAAGCUGCUAUUUUGCUAGCUAGCUAUAAGGGUUUUUCUUCUCAUUUUGAUCACUUACUAAUUAUAUAUUAAUCACUAGUUUUUCUUUAAUCUGUUUCAAGAUCUUCCUUGCUGCUUAGUUUCUUUAAAAGAGAAGAUUUUGUUAUGUGGGUAUGUGUGUUUUCUAUUUGAAUAGAUCAUUUUCAUAACAUCUCUCUCUCUCUCUCUCUCUUGAAUGCUCAUGAACAUGUAAUAAUUGGCGUCUUGUGGAAUUAAUCUUUCUGUUUCUUGGUGAGACUAUAAGCAAUCAUAUACUGUUCAGAAGUUUCCUUUCAGGAUGAGAAAGGAACUAAGCUUUAAUACAUUUGAAGGCCAUGGCAGGUACAUAUCUAUAAUUAUGAAACUAGGGUUUGCUGUCCAUUCUUAUUAUCUCCUAGCUAGACAUCCCAUAUGUCAAGUAGCUAGAUGACUAAAUAUUCAUGAGUUGAUGUGUGUAUGUAUGUCUUAUCUAGUAACAAGCUAGUACAACUACAGUUCAUCAUCAUCAUCAGAUACAUACAUGAGGAGAGCUACCUAUGCAUGUCUAUGCCCUAAACUUGCAUACACAUAGCAUGGAUUUAUUAUCCAUAUAUGUAUGGUUUUGUUUCUGUUAAAUUUUUUACCAAGUACAUGAAUUUUUGUGUAAAUAAACAUCUCACUGAUUAUUCAUGUCUAUAUGUAUAUCUACCUGUCUAUUUGUCCUUGAAAACUAAACUUUCAUCAUCAUCAUUUUGUUGGGCAAUAAUGAAAAAUUUUUAAUAAUUUAAUUCAAUAGAUAAUUGAGAAAGAAUUUUCUGAUUAGUUUAUCAAGCCCUCUUAAAAAUAUAAAAACAUUAAUUAGAAUAAGAAAGAAACUUAAAGAGAAUGAAUUAGCAUGUAUGAAUAUGCAGAUGGUCUCUUGUGUGUAACUUGAAACUUUGAAUUGAAAAUUUUAUCCAGGCUUGCAAAUAACAGCAUUUGUCAUGUGGAAAAUGCUACAAGUACUAAAAUUCUUUCCCUUUGAUCUGUCAGACAUGGAAAAGGAAAGCAAAAAGAAAAUAAAAAAAGAAAUUGGAAAGGAUUCGCGUGCUUGUUGGUAUCCUUUUGUCAAACACUGCUACUUAUAUUUAGAAUUUUAUCACAUUGUACCCCUGGAUUGUACUUACUGAACCCUUGCUUUAAUAACAUUUCAAUAUGCUAUCGGUCGAAUAACUCUUUUUUUUAUUUUUCUCCUCUGAAUUUAUUUUUUGAAUAAAUUGAUAAUGAGUCAUAUGAAAUUCGUGGAUUCAUAUAAAUUCGAUUUAAAUAAACAUUAGAUAAUUUAAUAAAAAAAAAUUCAUUUCUUACGCUAUUCGAACUUUGAAGCCCAGACCUGCUUCAGAUGAACAGCCAGUGCCAUCCACAUGCACAGCAAAUCUUAAGAUUAAGUUAGCCCAAAGCUUCGCACCUUUUUUUUGGGACCGAGCCCAAAGGGCUCCUGUGAAACUGGGCUUUUUGAGAAAACAACGGGAAGAGUUUUGGAUUGAGGUUGUGAAAGAGUAGCAUUCACAACAACUUCUUCUUUGCCUCAAAGCCCAAAUUGUUUGACCUUUUUUUUUUUUGAAUUAGUCUAAAUGUGUUAAUUGAAACUCAACGUGACCAAAUCAACAAAUUGUAAAAAUUAUAGCUCAAAGAUUAAGAAAUUAAACUUUUUAAUUCUGUAGCACAAUUAAUAAAUCUAUAAAUUUAGAUGUUUAGAGUAUAAUUAAUUUAAAUUAAAACUUCUGACUAAUGUAGAUAAAAACUUAAAAAUAAAGUAAAUUAAACAUGAAAUUAAAUAUUUAGCCAUUAAAAUGUUGUGCUUUUCAUAAACAACUACAAAGUCUUUAUUUGCCACCGCCAGACUGAUAAUAUAUAUUUCAAUAUGAUGAAAUGAGAUUUUUUGUAAAAAAUAAAAAAUAAAUAAACAGAAUACGCCUAGCUUAAAAAUAAAAAAAUUCAUCUCUUACAUUUCUGAGAAAAUAAAAAAUACAUUUAAUAAAUAAAAUUAAUAUUUUAAAUUUUGACUAAAAAUUUAAGUGAGAGCUAAAUUUGACUGCAUAUUAAAAAAAAAUCAUGUUCAACAUACUCAUACUUAAAAUUUAAAUUAAAAAAAAAAAAAAAACAUUAACAAGCCUCUUAGAUUCGGCAUUGUCUACAAUAUUGUAUUAUCUAUUAUCCAGUAGCUGAUAGACAGAAGUAGGGUCACGUUCAGUCGGUUCGAUUUAAAAUUAAACUGAACUGAAUAAAUCAAAAAUUAAAAUUUUAAUAUUUAUGAAAAUCGAAUCAAAUCGAUUUUGAUCAGAAAUUGAAUCGAAUUAAACCGGUCUGAUUCAGUUCGAUUCGGUUGGUUUUGAUCGAUUUCGAUUUUUAAUAAUUUUUUUAUUUUUUACACUUUAUUUUUAAUAUUUUAAAAUUUAAUUAAAAUAUUUUAAUUUUAAUAUAAUUUAAUUUCUCUAUAUUAUUGAAAAAACAUAUUAUUAUCACUAAUCGAUUCGAUUUUUUUGAUUUUUUUCUAAUCAAAAUCAAAUUGAACUGAAAUAAUUGAAAUUUUUAAAAUUAAAAAUCAAACCGAACUAAAAUAUAUAAAAAAUCAAACUAAAAUUUUAAAUCAAUUCAAUUCGAUUGAUGUUUUUAAUUUGAACUAAAUACUGCCCACCUUGAUUUUAGAACCAUAAAGUUUUUAAAAUAUUUGUGCUUUUUCACAAGCUUAUCAGAUUCCAAAAUAUUUAUAUAUAAAUUAAUUUUUUUCUACAACAUUCUACACACAAAGCUUACUUGGCGUGACAUGCAUGUAAAAUAUAAGAGGGGAUUAAUUUUGCUUUUCAAAAGUAAAAUUCACAAACAAAUAGUAAUUAAUAAAUUAAGUUUAAGCUUAUAUAUAUCCAGAUCGAUUAGAAAUUUUAAAAAAAUUAAUUUAUAAAAUACAUUCUCAAAAACACCUUAAAUUAAAAAAUUUAAGGUUAAGUUAUGUAUGCAUAUCGACUUUUUUUUAUUAAAUUAAAAUUAAUUAAAAUUGAGAAACUUUUUUUAUUAAAUUAAAAUUAAUUAAAAUUGAGAAACUCAAGUCAGGACAAAUUCACUUUACCUAAAAAGGUAAUCCCUAUUUUAAUCCCAUAAGCAACGCCCACUCGCAAAAGAAAAAUUAGAGAAAAAAGUGCAAAGGGUUAGUGUGAAUUUGGUUGAUGUGAAAACAGAAGAUUGAUUUGGUGAGGUUAAAUUAAUAACCUUAAUUACUGCAAUUAAUUUAUAGAAAAUUACAGUAAUUAUGUAAUGAUACGAUAAGCUUGGUUACAUCAGAUUAAGAUGUUAAUUGGUGGAGGAUUUUGACAAUUGGAUGCUACCUAAUAAUGUUAGCAGAUUAAAAACAUUUAUGUGGAGUUUGAGUAGCAGUGUUGAAUUAGUUAACAUUCGAAAUUAAUGAAAGAAAUAGAUAUGUUGAAUGAGCAAUGGAUCAAAUUCAAAGGUCAAAAGGAAAUUUAAGAAGUUGCGGUAUGCCCAACAAUCAACAAAUUCAAAGUUCAAUCCUCUCUCUCUCUCUCUUUUCAUUUUCUUUGUACAUGCAUGAGCAUCGCUGUAGAUUUAACCUUUCAAGCUAAGAAAAUUGGAUAUUGACUUGGUUUUAGCUGAGUUGAGUUCAGCUCAGUUGACAGCUAUUGCGUUUAACAUUUCGGUCGGUCUUCAUUAAUAAUUUAUUUUUUUUUUAUUUUACAAUAUAAUAAAUUAAAAAUUAAACUAAUAUAUAUAUAUAUAUAUAUAUAUAUAUAUAUAUAUAAUUUAAAGAGAAUUUUUCUCUAAUAUAUUUCACCUCUCAUAUAAUUUUUAUCUUUUUUUAUUUUUAAUUGCUUUAAGUAUUGUUCACUACCAAAUUUUUUAAUCAUUUUAAAUCAUUCCAUGCAAAUUCUAAAUUUAUUAAUACUCUCUCUUUUUUUAAUUUGUCAUUUAAGAUUUUUGUAAUUUUAAUAAAAAUAAAAAUAUUAUAUGACCUUCUAUUAAAAUCUAUAUAUAAAUAUUUUAAAUUAAUUAAUAUUUUAGAAAUAUAUGACUUAUUAAAAGGUAAACGGUGAAAAAAAAUAUAUGUAUAAAACUCAACGAUUUUUGGAUUGUAAUCGAGCCGAACCGAGUUUUAAUAAGUGUAAUAUCUAUUAUUAAAUAAAUUUAAAAGUUUGAGUUGGAGAUUAAACUCAACUCGAGUUUCAAUUUAAACUCGACUCUAUUUUCAUUUAUAAGUUUGAGUUCGAUUUAUAAAAUAAAUUUUAAACUUCAAUUUGAUUUGAACUCGAUUCGUAAUAAAAUCAUUUAUCAUAUUAACGAGCGAACUCAAAUUCGAUUAAAAAAACUUAAAUUUAAAAUUAUUUUAUCUUGAAUUUGAGCUUAAACAAAUUCAAUAUAUUUAAAUUAUAAAAUUGUUAAUAAAUUUUUAAAUUAAUUUUUUUAUUCAAUUGAAAUCUCUCAAACCUACAAAUGAUAAAAAAGAAUAUAGAAAUAUUGUUUUUUUAUAAAAAAAUUACAAUUCUUGGUAUCUUAUCCACUUUUAAUAUGGAAUUAGUGUUGGUAAAUGAAUCUGGUUACGAGUUUAUUUGUGAGUCGGCUCAUGAGUUUGUUCGUGAAUCUAUUUACGAAUCAGCUCGCUACUUUGUUCAUAAAAUUAAAAACGAGCCGAACUCGCGAAUUUAAAUGAGUCGAAUACUAUUAAAUUCAAGUUCGAUUCGUUUAUUAAAUGAGUCUAAAAAGUAAGCUCGAGUAAGACUCAUUUAAAAAACAGAUCGAGCUCGAUAAAGUUUUAAGAUCGAGCAAAACCCAUUUAGAAAAUAAAUUGAAUCUGAUCAAAUUUUUAUCGAAUCGAGUCUUGAAUAACUGAUGAACAGUUUGAUUUCUUUCCACUUCUGGUUGCAUGUUCUAUUAUUGAUUUUUUUUUUUAUAAAUAUUAUUGAAUUGCAGAAUGGACACAUCGAUUAGUGCAAUUUAGGGGUGAGCAGAAUCCGGUUCAAACUGAAAAAACCGAUCGAACCGAAUCGAUUUGAAAAUUUGGUUUGAUUUUUUAUACAUUUCGGUUCGAUUCGGUUUUAAAUUUCAAAAAUUUCAGUUAUUUCGGUUCGAUUCGGUUUUGAUCAGAAAAAAACCGAAAAAACCGAACCAAACCGAUUAGGGAUAAUAAUAUAUUUUUUCAAUAAUAUCAAGAAAUUAAAUUAUAUUAAAAUUAAAAUAUUUUAAUUAAAUUUUAAAAUAUUAAAAAUAAAGUGUAAAAAAUUUAAAAAAUAUUAAAAAUUGAAACCGAUCAAACCGAAUCGAAUCGAACCGAACCAGGCCGGUUCGGUUCGAUUCAAUUUUUGACCAAAAUCGAUUCGGUUCGGUUUUCAUAAAAACUAAAAUUUCGAUUUUCGGUUUAUUCGGUUCGGUUCGAUUUUAAACCGAACCGACCGAAUGCUCA